rnacentral:tRNA from 1 species
GCCUUCGUGGUGUAGUGGCCAGCACGCUCGACGCGUAUUCGAGAGGUCCGUGGUUCGAAUCCCAGCGAGGCCU